GAUGAACGCUAGCUACAGGCUUAACACAUGCAAGUCGAGGGGAAACGACAUCGAAAGCUUGCUUUUGAUGGGCGUCGACCGGCGCACGGGUGAGUAACGCGUAUCCAACCUGCCCAUCACUUGGGAAUAACCUUGCGAAAGUAAGACUAAUACCCAAUGAUAUCCCACGAAGGCAUCGGAAUGGGAUUAAAGAUUUAUCGGUGAUGGAUGGGGAUGCGUCUGAUUAGCUUGUUGGCGGGGUAACGGCCCACCAAGGCAACGAUCAGUAGGGGUUCUGAGAGGAAGGCCCCCCAAAUGGGAACUGAGAAACGGUCAAAACCCCUACGGGGGGCAGAGGGGGGGAAUUUUGGGAAAUGGGGGAGAGCCUGAACCAGCCAAGUAGGGGGAAGGAAGCCGGCCCUAUGGGUUGAAAACUUUUUUUAUAAGGGAAAAAAGUGGGUCACGUGUGAUUUUUUGCAUGUACCUUAUAAAAAAGGACCGGCUAAUUCCG
rnacentral:rRNA from 1 species